rnacentral:lncRNA from 1 species
AGUGUGUGGAGUGAAGGGAGAGUCUCCGGACAUGAGAAGAGCUGCUCUGAGCAGUGUGGCGGCCGUUUUUGUUUCCUUUCUCUUUCUCCUCCUGGGGCUAGGCAGACACCGGGCACAAAGAAGGAAACAGGCCUUCUGUGAGUGCAGCAGCAAUCAAUAAAGAAGCAGCCCAGAGCGGCCAUCCCUCUUCUGUCUGCUGUGACGCUCCGGCCCAGGUGUCCCUGGGGCUGCCCUCCCCAGGGCCUGUGUGUUGCAUAUAUGGGGUGGGGUGAGGGCAGCUGGAAUUGAGGUGGGGACCCUGCAAUUGUGAGGGGCUGCGUGGCAGAGGUGGGCGGCUCUCGCAGGCCUCUUCCUGGACACUUGCACCCCCUCAUCCUGCUCUCUUUUUCUUCCUGCACUUACAUCAUCUCAUUUGUUUAUUUUCUCAUUGUCCGUCUCCCUCUACAGGAGCACCAGAGGAGGGGGACUUCAUCUGACUUGUUCAGCACUGUCUCCCAGGCCCUGGCACAGAGGGAGCACUCGAUACACACCGAUGGGCUGAAGGUGUGAAUGGAUCUGGGGACUAGAGUGAUGGUUAUUUGGCAGACAGCAUGCCCCGCCUGGGCAGUAGCCGUGAAGACUCUUCUUUUCCUCUCCUCGCCUGCACUCUUUAGGAUUGAACAGCAUUGGUUCAAUGCAUAUUCUGGGAGCACAGAGAAAAAAGGGAUCAAGUUCCACCAUUAUGCAAAAGGGACUCCUGUAAGCCAGACCCUGAGCCGUUGUCAAAACACAGCUUAAUCCCCAUUCCCUGGGCCCGAGACCCUGCAGCCCCCACGCUGCCCGGCUUCCGGUCUUACCUGGGGCAACCUGACCAACAAGAACGCGGAAGGCCAGGAGCCAAAAACAGAGACUCCUGAUGGGUAACAGAAGGAAAAGGCAGGACAUCCCAGUGCUAAGGAGAGUGACCUCAGACACCAGAGACACAGCAAGUGCAGCAGAGCUGACGGCUCUGGGAACACUGGUCUUCAAAGUCUUCCCCGUUGUUGGUUUUGUUGUCUUUAUUUACAAAUAAAGUAAAUAUUUCUUAUUUA